rnacentral:rRNA from 1 species
AAUGAACGUUGGCGGCGUGGAUUAGGCAUGCAAGUCGAGCGAGAACCGUAGCAAUACGGGGACAGCGGCGAAAGGGAGAGGAACACGUGGAUACGUACCCUCGGGUUCAGGAUAGCCAUGGGAAACUAUGGGUAAUACUGGAUGACAUCUCCGGAUCAAAGGUGAGAUUCCGCCCGAGGAGCGGUCCGCGUCCUAUUAGCUAGUUGGCGAGGUAACGGCUCACCAAGGCAAAGAUGGGUACGGGAUGUGAGAGCAUGAUCCCGCUCACUGGGACUGAGACACUGCCCAGACACCUACGGGUGGCUGCAGUCGAGAAUCUUCGGCAAUGGGGGCAACCCUGACCGAGCGACGCCGCGUGCGAGAUGAAGGCCUUCGGGUUGUAAAUCGCUGUCAGAGGGGAGGAAAUGCCGGUGGGUUCUCCCAUCGGUUUGACCUAUCCUCAGAGGAAGGACGGGCUAAGUUCGUGCCAGCCGCCGCGGUAAGAC